AGGUGCACAAUGCCAGGCUGUCCUGAUACACAGGGGAAUGGAGCGGUCAUGUAUCAUAUGCACACUAUCUAGGAAAAUGGGAGGAAUGUAGAGAAGCCUGGCAGCACUCCCAGACUGCUACAUCUCCUGUCCUGCACUCCAUGCUUCCAGGACUGUCCGGCUACCCUGGGCAUCAGCAGGCAAGAGCAAAAGCGGAAGAAUAAUACUCUAUGGGUCUUCAGGAAGACAUCACCAAUAGCCAAAGACAUACCGCUGUUUCGCAAUAAGACACUUCUCUCUUGCCUGUUGACCCUAUCAUAGGCAGUCUUCAAGACCGAGGGUGGGUACCCUCUCUCCAGAAGACGCAAGCAUGAAAGAAUGAGGCUAGAACAAGAGCCGAGUAACUUUUCCAUUCGUCUUUUCGAAAAUUGGAGGAAGUGGCCUGUUAGCAGAUGGCAUGCUGAUUAGUGAAGUCAAGUGCUACAUAAUCUAAUGCCACGACGGUGUAUGAGCCUCUGUAAGUAACGUCAUAUCCUCAUUCCUUCCUACGUGAACUAGCUAUGUCACAUCCUUCUGUCUAAAUAUCCUAAGCACUUCAACUUCUGCUUGUGACGCCUGCCCUCAAAUGUCACGCUAGUGAUCUAAUUUGUGCUCUGAUGUGGAAA